CUCGCUACAGUCUCUUCAACAUGGCCGAUCAAGAGGAGUAAAGACAGGACAGUGAGGCAGCAAAUGACAGACUAAUCCACUUUCUGAAGCUUGGAUUACCCCAGGAAAACAUCAGUAACAUUUUAGGUGUCACUCAUACAACUAUCAUUCGUUGGAUGAGAGAAUGUGUUUGGCCAGAGACAGAAUCCAAUAAUUAACCCUGAGAUGGAAUAUUCAGACUCAAUGGCAGUUGAACAAGAUGGUGG